CUCAACUAAAAGCAUAACUCCAAGUCUUACAGAAGGCCGCUGUUCCCAGCAGCAGCAGCCAUAAGCCCUUCUACCGACUCUAUACACGAUGUGAUUGGCCUGACCAGAGUUUAGU